UUUUGACAGGGGCUGAGGAAACCCCUGGUCAGGGAGCACCACGGAGCGCUCGGUGUGCCGGGACAACAGUCCAGACCCAGAGCCCCGCCCUGACCUCUGCUGCCCGUGGCUGAGCCCCAGAGCCAGGCACAGCUGCUCUGGGCUUGGCAGCCUGAGUUUCCAGAGGACAAGGGGACGCCACCUUCCUCCAGAACUUGGUCCCAGGUCCUUUCUCUCUGGCUCUUGUUGGGUUUUUAGGUGAAGCACUCUGCUGCAUUUUCAGUACUAACUCUUGGCUCCGUGCACAACUCUGGCUGCUCGGUAAACAUGGGGGCACAGUGAGAGCACAGAAGCUGUCACACUCCGUGAGAAGCCACCAUGCGCUUUAGGCACUUGCAGCAGGGUGCAGAGGAGGACAUGGAGGUGUAGCCUUAGCACUUACUGCCGCGUGCUUCUUCAGCUUCCCAGUCCGACCAGGGCACAGGUGGCUUUCAUACAUUGGCACUCCUGCCACUUCAGGUGGGCUAUUCUUCACGGAGUAAGUCACCCCUCUGACUUCCUGACAUGAGCUCCGAUGGAUUCUACACGCGGACAUGCGCACAGUCAGCCCCAGCAGCGAGAGGCCGAGGCAGCCGUGGUGUGGCCGGAUGGGACAGGCAUUAGCUGAGCCUCGAGGACACAAGGACCCCGUCCUCCUCUGAGCAAUGACAGCAUUUUCACAUGUGUAAGUGACUGGAGAUCUACCACGGUUCUAAAUGAAAUGUUUUAAACAUAACAAUCCCCACUCAAAAAUAAACAUAUGCCGCUUUGAAAAAUCUGCCUUUCCUUAGGGAAAAAAAAUCACUUAACGAGUUAAUUUAAAGCCUGCCGGCAAGCUGCAGCCUGGUGGUGCCGCCCAAGAUCGCAGCCUUGGGGGACAGGAGGAGAGGAUCGGGCUUUCCAGCUGGCAGGUAGCCCGGCAGGUCACCUCUUCCUCCUCCCUGACUUGGGUUUAUUACUGUCUAGGUCAUAGGGCAUUUUGUCAGAAUCUCGUGGUGCCAGGUACACUCCUAGCAAGCUCAGGUAGAAGUCCAGCUCAGAAAGAGCCCAUGGUCUUGGUAGGCGAGGGUACACGUCAGAGUCAUGAGCAUCCAGUCGCUGGACUGAGCUGGGCUUGCGUGUGCUGAUGUCUGGGCGACUCAGAGUCCUCCAAUCCUUCUAACGCAGAGAGUAAGGGCCACAGGAAAGAGGCCAGGUGGUGAGCACGCCGUCCCUCCUCACUCAGUCGGCUGGUGCAGAUGAGCUGGGACCAGGACCUUCCAACUCUGUCUCUUUGAUGGUUCUUCUCGCAGCGAAUGUGGGUCCAGCCUGCUCUUCCCAUCAGAACAGAAAGCCCACUACUGGCAACGGUUGCCAGGGAACGGGGCCCAGAAACCAGGCCUUCUGGGCACGGCAGGACUCGCGGCUUGAGAGAUCUGCUUUUUUCUUCAGCCUCAGAAAGUCAAAGCACUUCCUUUGCCUUGUGAGACUCGGGAGAGAUUUAUAAUGAGCCAGACACUCAUGCAGGAUUGUUUUCAUGCUCCCUGGAACAUGCAAAGCCCAACUGGGGGACGCAAGACGCUCCCCGCAGAGGAGACACUGUGGGCGUUGAUUUUAUGAACUGUGAGAAGCCAAAGGUUCCUGCACCAGAAGAGGGACCUCGCCAGCUUCCUGCCUCCAGGCCCCACAGCCCCAAGAUCACAGAUUCUGCUUCCAGACUCCCCAGCCAAGUGCUCACCCCCAAACAUCGGGUGCUCACGCUGGUGGAGUCCAGCUCUGUGAUGGUUGGUUUUGUCAACUUGACUUGGCCGUGGGACACAGAUAUUUGGGAAAUAAUUUUUCUAGAUGUUCCUGUGAAAGUUCUUUUAGAUGAGAUUGAUAUUUAAAUCAACGAAUUUGAAGUAAAGCCAAUUUCUUCUCAUACUGUGGGGGGCCUCAUGCAAUCCGUUGAGACAGGGAGAGCCGGGAUGGAGCCAUCAGAUGAAGAUGACCUGAAGCAGUCAUUUAUGCAGGGACCCCCCAGGGAGGUUUGAGGGUCCUCACCUGAUGGAAGAAGAGUCUACCCACCCUUUGAGCAGAAAAGUAGACUAUGGGAAAGAAUCAUUCAAAGAUACACAGAUACCAAAUGGACAAAGUCACCCAAGGAGGAGAGAGGUCUAGCAGAUGGACUUUGGAUCUCAUCUGCAGAACUGCAGCUCCUCCCUGGUCUCUGGUCUGUUGACCCCCUUGUAGAUCCCAGACUUGUCAGUCCCCACAAUCAUGACAGCCAAUACUUUGAAAUCAAUCUCUCUAUGCUCACACACAAACACACAACCUAUCGGUUACUUUCCUCUGAAGAAUCCUAACUAAUGCCAGAUCCUGUCAUUUCUCAUGUAAAUGUCUCCCUCUGGGUCUUCCCGGGAAAAGCCAGUCUCUGAUCUGUUGGUAGGAAGUAUUUUUAGUGCUAAUAUGAACACUAUUUCUUUUGUUCCAUUGCUGUUUGGACCCCUCAUUGGCUCCAGUUCCCCAGGCAUGGGCUCCCCAACAGGAGCCUGCAACACCUGCCUCCCCAAGUGCUUGCUGCAGGCGGUGGUCAGGUGUGCAGGAGCUCAGGGUCCCCGGGAGAGACCACUGGCUCCUAGAGCAGAGGAGGGUUGUUCUGGCAAAGUGUUUUACGAUGGGAAUCUCCUGGGCUCGGUACAGAGCCCGACUCAGCGCUGAGGUGUGUCACCGGGUCUACACUAGGAACUGAUUUUGUCUCUCUAGUUACCUAGUGAGCCUAACGCUGGCUUCUGCCUUUGCCCCGCCUCAUCUGCCGAGCUGCCCGCUGUGUGGAAGCUGCCUCGGCAGUUUUAAUUUCCUACAGGGAGGAAUGGAAGCUUACUGAGAGCACAGGAGCAUGUCAUGAGAAACACUGUGUCUUCUGAGGACCUAGAGAAGCCACCACUGAAGGCCACAGACCCUGCCCAGAUGGCAGCUCCCUCACCAGCCUGGAUCCCCUCCUGUUCAGCUCCUUGGGACAGGCCUCCAGGGGAGACAACAGCUCUGGAUGGCAGGAGCCAAGGGGGACCAGGAUCUGACACCAUCAGGGAACAAGAGAGGUGUUUUUGUGGGCAAGAGAGAGAGACUGAGGGUAAGACGCGGGAGGUCCACCUGGCACUGUGGGAGGCUCAGGCUGGCCCAGCUGGCAGGUGGGCUCAUGCCGGACACAAAACCUACACCUUGCACCUGGGUUCCUCAGUGCCUUUGUGAGGCUCCCACAGCUAACGACCUGCAGAAUUCUCAGCCUGGUUGUGAACUGACAAUGGACAUCACCACCCUGAACCCCAAGAUAAAGCUCUGCUCUUUGUUAAGUA